rnacentral:rRNA from 1 species
CACCAGACUCCUACGGGAGGCAGCAGUGGGGAAUAUUGGGCAAUGGGCGCAAGCCUGACCCAGCAACGCCGCGUGAAGGAAGAAGGCUUUCGGGUUGUAAACUUCUUUUAAGAGGGAAGAGUAGAAGACGGUACCUCUUGAAUAAGCCACGGCUAACUACGUACCAGCAGCCGCGGUAAUACGUAGGUGGCAAGCGUUGUCCGGAUUUACUGGGUGUAAAGGGCGUGUAGCCGGGUUGACAAGUCAGAUGUGAAAUCCUGCGGCUUAACCGCAGAACUGCAUUUGAAACUGUUGAUCUUGAGUACUGGAGAGGCAGACGGAAUUCCUGGUGUAGCGGUGAAAUGCGUAGAUAUCAGGAGGAACAUCGGUGGCGUAAGCGCUUUACUGGGCCGUAAUUGACACUGAGGAACGAAAGCCAGGGUAGCAAAUGGGAUUAGAUACCCCCGUA